rnacentral:lncRNA from 1 species
UAGUGAUGGGUUGUUUUGGCAAGCGAAACUCUGAAAAUAAACAAAACCCAUAUCAAACACCUGCCAAAGGAACUAAUCCUCCUCGUCAAGCUCAUUAUGGAGGAGCUAGAAAGGCAAAAGUCGCAGCAAACAUAGCCAUGGUGUUGGAGCAGUUACUGCAGGUGUUACUGCUGCAGUCGCUGCAAGUUCAGCCGCUUCUAGUGGUGCUGGUGCUUGUGGUGGAGGUGGUUGCGCCGUUUCAGGCUGUUGAGGAUUGUCUUUGCAACAAUUCAAUUUCUUCUUUAUAUAUUUGUUAAUUACAUAUCAUCUCAUGAGAUUCUAUUAAUUUGUCAUGUUUUUACUUGAAUUUCAGAAAUAAAAAUUAUAGAAGAAAAUAAAAGGAUUGGUUGUAAGAAAUAUAUAUUGUUGUAUAUAUUCUGUGUUUAAUAUAUAUAUUUGAUUAUGGAAUUGUUAUAGUAAUAAUUUUAUUUUUAUUUUUAGCAAUAAAGUUAAUUACAACAAAGAUUUUAUAUUGAUAUAGUAAUAAUUUUAUUUUUAGCCUUAAAGUUAAUUAGUUAUUAUGACUAAAAUAAAAAGUAUUAGGAGACCAAUGAUUAUAUAUAAAGGAUAUCAUAGAAUUUUAAAAAUAAAAAUCUUAACAAAUAAUUGAUUUUUAAAUUGAUCCCUAAUUAUUACUAUUAAUUUAUAAAAAAAUUAGUUUAUAAAUAAUUGUAAUAUUAGUGCAUUAAUUUAAAAAGUAUAGCAACUUAUUUGUAAAUAAGUAUACUGCUUAAGGACCAAUUUAUAAAUUUAUGUGUGCUUAAUCAUAAAUAAUAAUUAUAAUAGGGAUAAAUUAGUAAAAGUUAAUAAGUGAAUUGUAAAAAAAAAUAAAAAUAUAAACUAAAGGACUAAACUGUAACUUUUACUAAACUUAGUUUAUUCUUUUAUAUUAAAAAUAUAAUAAAUGAAAUUUUAGUCAUUUUUAUACAAUUAACCGUAAUUUUAACUGUAAAUCUAAUGAUAAUUUAUAUGUUUAUUUAAAUGUUAAAAUGUCAAUUGGUAGAUUUUAAAAACAUAUAGAUUACAACAAAAUAAUUUAUUAAACUAUAAAGACAACUGAAAUUUAUCUAAUUAAUAAUUAUAAAAUCUAAAAAAAAUUUAAAAAACAUAUAAAAACUACAUUAUAACGUUGACGGUAAUAAUGCAGAUACCAAUAAGACGAAAGAAGCUAGAUAAUAAAUGGAUUGUUUCUUACCAUCCAUAUCUCUUAACAAUAUGCAACUAUCACAUAUAUGUGCUAGCUUAAAGGAAGUUAAAUGUUUGUAUAAGUACAUCUAUAAAGGACAUGAUAAGAUCUCAAUUUGCAUGUCCCAUGAAGAUGAACCAAUGGAUGAAAUACAAUAAUUUCAAGAUACAAGAUGAGUGUCAGCUCAAGAAGCGAUAUGGAAAAUAUUUGAAUUUGGGCUCAAUGAAAUAAACCCUUCAGUUUUAAAUCUACAGUUACACUUGCCAAAUUAGCAAAUGGUAUCAUUUUAGAAAAUCAGAAUCUUAAGCAUGUUAUGCAAUGGGAUCAUAUAUCAAGAACAAUGUUAACAAAGUUCUUAAGAACCACUUGAUGAAGAAGCAAGAGGACUAUUGUAUAGGGAAUUUUCAGAACAGUAUGUAUGGAGUCUAAACAAAAAUCAAGGCAAGUAAUAGGUUGUGUAAAUGCAGUGAAUCCGAUAGAGGGUGAAAGAUACUAUUUGAGAUUGCUUUUAAACUAUAUAAGAGGUCCAAAGUCAUUUGACGAUCUAUUAACAAUAGAAAAUGUCCAAUGCUCGAUUUAAAGAGUCAGCUAUUAGAAGAGGACUACUUGAGUCAGAUAAUAGUGCAUCUGAAUGUAUGAGUGAAGCAGUCACACUCCAGAUGCCAUAAGAAUUGAGGAAAUUAUUUGUAAUUAUAUAUAUUGUAAGCCUGCUGAUGUGAGAGGAUUAUGGGAUAAUUACGGGAUGAUUACUUUGAUGCCAUAUAUGAGAAUUUUAAUAGAAUGUACCAAGGCUCAAUGCAGAAAUAGAUUUCUUUAACAUUGAAAAGUAUAAACUAUCAUUUACAGAGCAUGGAAAAAGAUAUAAAGAAUUAUAAUUUGUCAAAUAUAGAAGAAGAUCAAACACAUCAAUCAAUCAAAAACUCAAGAGAAAUAACAGAUGAGAUGGCUAUAGAAAUACUUGAGGAAGAUAUUAAUGUGGUACAUAAAUUAAAUAUUGAGCAACUCCAUGCAUAUAAAAUCAUAUUGCAAACAGUGGACUUAAACACUAGCGGGGUCUUUUUUGUGGAUGGAUAUGGAGGGACAGAAAAGAUAUUUUUAUAUCGUGCAUUACUCGCAUAUGUAAGAUCUAUAGGAAUGAUAGCACUUGUCAUAGCAACAUCUAGGAUAAUAGCGUUUAUUAUGCUUGGAGGAAGAACUACACACUCACGAUUUAGUAUACCAUUAAGCCCAAUAGAGUCGAACAUGUGUAGUAUAUCUAAGCAAAGCGGACAGACAGAAUUAUUAUGCAUUGCAAAAUUGAUUAUAUGGAAUGAAGCACUGAUGGCAAAAGGACUAGCAAUAGAAAUAGUUGAUAGAAGCUUGAGAGAUAUAAUGGAUAAUUCUCAACCAUUCGGAGAGAAGGUAAUAGUGUUUAGUGGAGAUUUCAGGUAGGUAUUACCGGUGGUACCUAAAGCCUUAAGACAAGAAAAUGUUAGUGUAAGUCUCAUGAAAUCUUAUUUAUGGAGUAAAAUGGAAGUGCUAAAAUUAACAACCAAUAUGAGGGCUAGAACAUAUCAAUAUUUUGGAGAAUUCAUACUCAGAGUUGGUAAUAGAGAAGAGGUAGAAACAAAAGAAUGUAAUAUAAGAAUACCUGAAGAGAUGGUAGUGAAGUAUGAAAAUGAAAAUAACUGUAAAGAAGUAUUAGGUGAUGCAAUAUAUUCAUCAUUGGAGAAAAAUGCUAGAUUGGCAUAGUACAUGACAAAUCGUGUAAUCCUAACAACAAAAAAUGAAUAUGUAGAUAGUUUUAAUGAAAAGAUGAUAAAUAUAUUCUUUAGUAAAAGCGAUACUUAUACCAAUUUUGAUGAAACAAUAGAUAAUACAAAUAACUAUUACCAAGAGGAAUUCUUAAAUAUUUUAUUACCGAAUGGAUUGCCUUCGCACAAGUUAGAAUUAAAAGUGAAUUGUGCAAUGAUACUGUAAAAAAACCUAGAUCCUUCAAAUGGCCUAUAUAAUGGAUCAAGAAUGGUGUAUAAAAAUUUUAGAAAAAAUAUAAUUCAUGCAAAGAUAAUAGUAAGACGUGUUGAUAAGCAAAUUCUAUUACUAUUUUUACCUGCAGAAAAUAAAGAUGUCCUUUUCGUUUUAAAAGAAUACAAUUUCCUAUUUGUCUAUGUUUUGCAACGACGAUAAAUAAAGCUCAGAGAUAAAUAAUAUUAAACUUUGGUAUGUAUUUGAUACAUGAUGUUUUCUCUCCUAAACAAUUAUAUAUCGCACGAUCAAGGGAAGUAUUAAUUUCAAUUAUAAAAAUCAUUAUAAAGUCAGACAAUAAAAAAGAAAAAAGCAAAAAUGUACGAAGAACGUAGCAUAUAAAUAAGUGUUAUUAUCAUAAAAGUGAAAGAAUAUAAAAUAUAUAUUUAAAUAUAAACAAAUAUUUAGUAAUUAUAUUAAAAUAAUAUUAACUAUUAUAAUAAUUUUAAUAAUGGAGUAAACAUAUAUUUAAAAGUCAAUUGCUUGAUUACAAUAAUAACACGAAAGCAAAAAUCAUUAAAUGUGAUGUGAUUUUAUAUUUUAAUAUUAAUAUUAAUAUUUUAUUAUUUUUUAUGAUAAUUCUUCAACAAUUAUAUUAUAAAAAAAUGAAUGUAUUCAAUGAAUAUAAACAACGUGUAAAUCACGUUAAUUAAAACUAAUUAUUACAGAAGUGCUUUAUAAAAGUGGGAACUGAAUUAUUUAUGUUGUUAAACCUAAAUAUGGGCAGGUUAUCGUGGACCAAAUUGAAACAGAAUGGGUUAAAUUUAAAAUAUUGGUGAAUUAAUUUUGGUCAAUUAAUUUUAAUUUAUUUAUUUAUUCAUAUGCCAAUGAUAUAUUCAAUAAAUAUUAUUAUUUAAACUAAUAAGAAAUGUACUAUGUUAGUAUAUUAUUAAUGGUAAAAUAUAAUAUAGUCUCUAUAUUUAGAUAAAUUCUUCACUUUAGUCUUUAAAGUUUAAAAACACACAUAUUUAGUCGUUAACAUUUGAAUUAACCUAUAAUUUAGACUCUGCUAUUAGACUUACGGUUAAAAUGAUGCUAAUUUCAGAAAAAAAUAAGUUAAAUACCCUUUAUUAUAUAUUAUAAAUUAAUUUCUAAAUAUUAUACUUAUUUGUAAAUAUCUAUAUUUCUAUAAAUUAGUUCCUAAAUAUUUCAAUUGUUUAUGACUAAGUCCUUAUAAUUUAAAAAUUGAUUUCUAAAAUAUUUUUAUUGUUUAUAAAUAAUUUUAAAAAUAUUUUUUAAAUUGAUCCCUAAUUAUUACUAUUAAUUUAUAAAAAUAUUAGUUUAUAAAUAAUUGUAAUAUUAGUGCAUUAAUUUAAAAAGUAUAGCAACUUAUUUGUAAAUAAGUAUACUACUUAAGCACCAAUUUAUAAAUUUAUAUGUGCUUACUCAUAAAUAAUCAUUACAAUAGGGAUAAAUUAGUAAAAGUAUUAAAGUGAAUUGUAAAAAAAAUAAAAAUAUAAACUAAAGGACUAAACUGUAACUUUUACUAAACUUAGUUGAUUCUUUUGCAUUAAGAAUAUAAUAAAUGAAAUGUUAGUCGUUUUUAUACAAUUAACCGUAAUUUUAACUGUAAAUCUAAUGGUAAUUUGUAUGUUUAUUUAAAUGUUAAAAACUCAAUUGGUAGAUUUUAAAAACACAGACUACAACAAAAGAAUUCACUAAACUAUAAAAACAUAACUGUAAUUUAUCUUAUUAAUAAUUAUACAAUGUAAAAGUUUUUUAAAAAAUAUAUAAAAAUUAUAUUAUAACAUUGACUGUAAUAAUGCAGAUAUCAAUAAGACGAAAGAAGCUAGAUAAUAAAUGAAUUGUUCCUUACAAUCUAUAUCUCUUGACAAUAUACAACUGUCACAUAAAUGUUGAGAUAUGUGCUAACUUGAAGGGAGUUAAAUGUUUGUAUAAGUACAUCUAUAAAGGACAUGAUAGGAUCUCAGUUUGCAUGUCCCAUGAAGAUGAACCAAUUGAUGAAAUACAAUAAUUUCAAGAUACAAGAUGGGUGUCAGCUCAAAAAGCUAUACGGAGAAUAUUUAAAUUUAAGCUCAAUGAAAUAAACCCUUCAGUUUUAAAUCUACAGAUACACUUGCCAAAUUAGCAAAUGGUAUCAUUUUAGAAAAAUCAGAAUCUUAAGCAUGUUAUGCAAUGGGAUCAUAUAUCAAGAACAAUGUUAACAGAGUUCUUAAGAACAUGCUCACUUAAUGAAGAAGCAAGAGGACUAUUGUAUAGGGAAUUUUCAUAACAGCAUGUAUGGAGUCUAAACAGAAAUCAAGGCAAGUAAUAGGUUGUGUAAAUGCAGCGAAUCCGAUAGAGGGUGAAAGAUACUAUUUGAGAUUGCUUUUAAACUAUAUAAGAGGUCCAAAAUUAUUUGACGAUCUAUUAACAAAAGAAAAUGUUCAAUGCCCGAUUUAAAGAGUCAACUAUCAGAAGAGGACUACUUGAGUAAGAUAAUAGUGCAUCUGAAUGUAUGAGUGAAGCAGUCACAUUCCAGAUGCCAUAAUAAUUGAGGAAAUUAUUUGCAAUUAUAUAUAUUGUGAGCCUGCUGAUGUGAGAGGAUUAUGGGAUAAUUACUUUGAUGCCAUAUAUGAGAAUUUUAAUAGAAUGUACCAAGACUCAAUGCAGAAAUAGAUUUCUUUGACAUUGAAAAGUAUAAACUAUCAUUUAUAGAGCAUGAGGAAAGAUAUAAAUAAUUAUGAUUUGUCAAAUAUAAAAGAAGAUAAAACACAUCAAUCAAUCAAAAACUCAAGAGAAAUAACAAAUGAGAUGGCUAUAGAAAUACUUGAGGAAGAUAUUAAUGCAGUACAAAAAUUAAAUAUUGAGCAACUCCAUGCAUAUAAAAUCAUAUUGUAAAGGGUGGACUUAAACACUAGCAGGGUCUUUUUUGUGGAUGGAUCUGGGAGACAGAAAAGAUAUUUUUAUAUCGUGCAUUACUCGCAUAUGUAAGAUCUAUAGGAAUGAUAACACUUGCCAUAGCAACAUCUGGGAUAGUAGCGUCUAUUAUGCCUGGAGGAAGAAUUGCACACUCACGAUUUAGUAUACCAUUAAGCCCAACAGAGUCGAGCAUGUCUGGUAUAUCUAAGCAAAGUGGAUAGAUAGAAUUAUUAUGCACUACAAAAUUGAUUAUAUGGAAUGAAGCACUGAUGGCAAAAGGACUAGCAAUAGAAAUAGUUGAUAAAAGCUUGAGAGAUAUAAAGGAUAAUUCUCAACCAUUCGGAGAGAAGGUAAUAGUGUUUGGUGGAGAUUUCAAGUAGGUAUUAUCGGUGGUACCUAAAGCCUCGAGACAAGAAAAUGUUAGUGUAAGCCUCAUGAAAUUUUAUUUAUGGAGUAAAAUGGAAGUGCCAAAAUUAACAACCAAUAUGAGGGCUAGAACAGAUCAAUAUUUUGGAGAAUUCAUACUUAGAGUUGGUAAUGGAGAAGAGGUAGAAACAAAAGGAUGCAAUAUAAGAAUACCUGAAGAGAUGGUAGUGAAGUAUGAAAAUGAAAAUAACUGUGAAGAAGUAUUAGGUGAUGCAAUAUAUCUAUCAUUGGAGAAAAAUGCUAGAUUAGCAUAGUACAUGACAAAUCGUGCAAUCCUGACAACAAAAAAUGAAUAUGUAGAUAGUUUUAAUGAAAAGAUGAUAAACAUAUUCCAUAAUAAAAGCAAUACUUAUACCAGUUUUGAUGAAACAAUAGAUAAUACAAAUAACUAUUACUAAGAGGAAUUUUUAAACACUUUAUUACUGAAUGGAUUGUCUUCGCACAAGCUGAAAUUAAAGGUAAAUUGUGCAAUGAUACUGUCAAGAAACCUAGAUCCUUCAAAUGACCUAUAUAAUAGAAAAUGAAAGGUGUAUAAAAGUUUUAGAAAAAAUAUAAUUCAUGCAAAGAUAACAGUAAAAUAACAUAUUGGUAAGCAAAUUCUAUUACUAUUGUUAUCUGCAGAAAAUAAAGGAUGCCCUUUUUAUUUUGAAAGAUGCAAUUUUCUAUUCGUCUAUGCUUUGCAAUGACGUUGAAUAAAGUUCAGAGAUAAAUAAUAUCAAAUUUUGAUGUGUAUUUGAUACAUGAUGUUUUCUUUCAUAAUUAAUUAUAUAUCACACUAGUAAGAGAAGUAUCAAUGUCAACUAUAAAAAUUAUUAUAAAGUCAAAUAAUAAAAGUAAAAAAAAGAAAAAAUAUACGUAAUAUAUAAAUAAGUCUCAUUACCAUAAAAGUUAAAGAAAAUAAAAUAUAUAUUUAAAUAUAAUAAAAUAUUUAGUAAUUAUAUUAAAAUAAUAUUAACUAUUAUAAUAAUUUUAAUAAUGCAGUAAACAUAUAUUCAGAAGUCAAUUGCUCGUUUACAAUAAUAACACGAAAGCAAAAAUCAUUAAAUGUGAUGUGAUUUUAUAUUUUAAUAUUAAUAUUAAUAUUUUAUUAUUUUUUAUGAUAAUUCUUCAACAAUUAUAUUAUAAAAAAAUGAAUGUAUUCAAUAUAAACAACGUGUAAAUCACGUUAGUUAAAACUAAUUAUUUUAUAAUUUAUUUAUUUAAUAAAAUAUAUAUUCAAAAAUAUUUUUUUAAAUGGAUAUUCAAAAAUAUUUAAAACUUAGUAUUAGUUUUUUACAUUUUAUUUAAAUUUUUUACUUUUAUUUUUUUUUUAUAUCGAAAUUAAAUUAACUAUUUAUAACUUAAAUUUAAUUAAAAUUAAAAUUAUAACUGUAAAAAUUAAAAAAACCACUUUAAAACUAAAUGAAAACCAUUAAAAAUCUAAAAUCAUUUAGAACUAUUUUAAAUCCGACUGAUUUUAAUACUAUUCAAAAAAUAAAUAAAACUUUCAUUUUCAAACUGAAACCAGACCAAUAGCGGCCAUGGCCGCGUGUAGUUAAACCUUACCGUACGUUGCCUGAAAGAGCAAUCAACGAAAAUAAUUGUAAGCUGACCGUUUACUCUGUUAAAUAGUGAGGUUAAUCACUAGAGAAGCUAGACCGUGUGGUUACUCAAAUUGGGUUGACGGAUCAUCUAUUUCUCUUUCUUGGUUGCGCCAUUGGUCGAUCGAAGCAAAAAAUUUGUUGCCUUCCUCAUAUUUUCUAUGUAAAUCAAGCUUCUAAUCAUCAAGGUAUUCUCUGGUUUAUGCUUUUUUGAUCCAUAUGCAUAUUGGGUUUUCUCUCAUUCUCAUUUGAUGGCUUCGAUUUGUGAAAUCCUCUUCUAAGCUGAUAUUCAAUGUUAGUUUGAAAAUGAUUCUUUCCUUUAGAAGAGAGGUGAACUUGGGCUCAAUGAUCAAUUGUGUUUCAGCUUAGAAAAUUGUGAACUUAGGCUCAAUCACCUAUGGCAUUUAGAAAAGAAGGUAUAUAAAAACGCAAUUUAGGAAAAAAAAACGAAGUUUCAAAAGGGGUUCGUAAGAUGCAUUUGCUGGUUUGGAAGAGGUAGAUUUUCCUUGCCGUGUAAAUGGGUGAACUCGAGUCUUAUAUAAUUAGGGGUAUUUAAAAAUGACCCAUAAUUUGCUUCAAUUUAUCCGUAGUUAAACUAAAAUUAUACAAGUGUUGAUAGAUUGGGUUGGGUUAUUAUUGUUAUUAUUAUUUUUUCAAAUCAAACUGCAAUUUACAGAUUGAAUUAUAUGUUUCUUAGUUAAAUCAAUAAUUUGACUCAAACCAAUUCUCAUUAUUCUCAAAUAAUGCUCUUACUCCUUUUCUUUUGUUUUAAUUUUAGUUACCCAAUUAAUGCUUCUCCAGUUUUUAAAAAGAAAUAUACAUCUAAUUGCUUUAGUAGCGAUCAUUUUAUUACUAGCUUUGCUUGAUGCAGCCAUUGAAAGCAUAUUACUCACUUGGUAGACUUAAGGUUGAGUUUCCACUCCCUUUAAUACCUUACACAAUCUUUUUUUUUUUUUUUAAAGAAAAAAACACAACGAAUUUAUAUAUAGAAGAUUUACAAUUUAGUCCCUAGAUAUUGUUAUUAUUAACAAGUCAGUCUUUGCAUUUUUUAAAAUUUGUUAAAAUAUUCUUAUCUUUUUUCUCCAUGAACGAAAUAGUAAAUAUAGCAAAAGACCAAAUUAUCCCUCUUCUUCUCCUCCUUCUUCUCCUUCUAGGGACUAUUUUUAUUGAUGGGGAGAAACGAUAAAGACGUUUUAAUAGAUAAAAAAAAAAGAUAAGGAUGUUUUAUUAGAUUUCUGAGAAUGUAGGGACUAACUUGUUAAUAAUGGCAAUACCCAAUGACUAAAUAAGGGAUCUUAUUUGAAGUCAAAAUUGAGUUUUAAAAUUUUUUUCUCUCAUCUUUCAUUUAUUUUUAAUGAAAAAGAGGACGGAAGAACUAUUUUGUUGACGGAGAGAAAAUAUAAGGACGUUUUAAUGAGUUUCUGAAAAUGGAAAAUGCAGAGACUGAUUUGUUAAUAAUGGUAAUACUCAGGGACUAAAUAGUAAAUCUACCUUUAUAUAUGUGUGUGUCUAUAUACACACAUCCCCCUUGUUGAUAGAGUUGGAAGAUACAAAUUCUUUUCAAGCAAUUUAUUUGUCUAUGAAUUUUUUUACAUUUAGAAAAUAAUUGUCAAAGUGCUCUGUCUCCCGUUUGAUUUGCAAACACCAAAUUGCUAUUUUCUCUUUCUAAUUUCCUUUGUUUGUGUGGUUCAUUGGUUAUUACAAUUGACUUCUUCUUUUAGUUUAUCAGGAGACGAGUGAGCCUCUUCAUCACCGAUAUUCUAACUGUCUAUCAUCAUGGCAUCUUCCUCCAUAGCUCGAAAACGGAAGUAUGAUGUGUUUCUUAGCUUUAGAGGAGAGGAUACCCGUGAUAAUUUUACUAGCCAUCUCUAUGAUGCUUUAUCUCGUAAAAAAAUCAAGACCUUCAUAGACAAUGACCUUGAAAGAGGGCAAGAAAUAGCCCCAGUCAUUUUGAGAACAAUUGAAGAAUCAAUGUUUUCUGUAAUCAUUUUCUCCAAAAAUUAUGCAUCUUCUCCAUGGUGCUUGGAUGAAAUGGUGAAAAUACUUGAGUGCAGGGAAGUUCAUGGUCAAGCAGUUUUACCAAUUUUUUAUUAUGUAGAUCCUUCCGAUGUUGAAGGUCAAAGUGGAAGUUUUGGAGAUGCAUUUAUUGAACUUGAGAAGAACUUCAAGGAUAAAAUGGAAAGGAUGCCCAAGUGGAGGGCUGACUUGAUGAAAGUUUCAAGGAUAUCUGGAUGGGAUUCCCGGGUUAUAAGGUAUGUGUCAAUUUCUUUUCAAAUGGCUCCAGAAACAUGUCUUUCUCUUUUAAGAAAGAUGAAAAGGGAAAAAAAAACUUGUUUUGAUAAUUUUUUUUAUAACUAGACAGUAAAACAAAAAACAGAAUAAAUAGCAAAUGGACCCUAAAAUAGCCUUUUUGCUAGAUAAAUCUUGGUCAUAGUUCAUGAAACCCACAUGAGUUGAACUAGCGAACAAGUGUAUUAAAUACUUGCUUGUAUAUGUUGUUAGGUUUACAUAAAUUGGCCUUAUUAUGUUUAUCCCAUCUCAACCAUUAAAUUCAAAUUUAGUGGUUGAGAUUCAUUGUGUAAUAUAUACCCAACCAUUUCCUUCUAUGAACCAAAAAGGUUUUCCUUCACCAAAAUAUCCGUUAGAGCUGUAGCUCUAACAGAGGGAAGGAAGAGAGAAUAGGAAAGAGGGUGGGAGAAGAAUAAGAAGAAGAAGAAGAGAAGAAGAGUGUUUGGAUAACAGAAGAGAAGGGAAUGAGAGAGAAUAAGCUCAGUUUGAAUUAGUAUUUCUGAAUGCCUUUCAUGUGUAUUCCACUGCGAUUAUAUUAGCCCUGUAACUAAUUUGACAGUUGUACUACCUCUAGCUAUUACAAACUUCUAGCUAUAACAACCCAUUCAACUAUAGUACUUUCCCUCCAAAAGUCUUUAUACAUUUUAUUCCCUCUUAUUUCUAUUUUUCUUCCUACAAUACGUGACAAUACUCCCCUGGUGGAGAACUUUCUUGAACCCAAAAAAGGGAGAUACCGGGAAACUGAGCAACAAUGAAUGACUUGUCUUCUCAAAUGGCAUCUUUAGGAGGAAGAUUGUAUGACUUAAUUAAUCCUUGUUUAACAUGUUCUCCUCCUCUGAGAAUAGUUCUAGUCUACAACACCCUCUCUAGAGCCACUAUGAAACUGUCAUCCUGAAUCUGUGGUAGUGUUGUGGAAAUACUAAUAGAGUCCCCAAUCCUUUUUCUUGAGUAAAAGGCACAUGGAAAACAAGAUGAAGUGAAGAUUUAGGUGGUAAUUCCAGCUUAUAAGAUGAAGGGCCAUAAUACUUGGCAGAUAGCUUUAAGGGUCGUUUGAGUGCUAAUAACGUUUGUCUAUAAGGUUGAAGCUUUAAAUAUGCCAAGUCCCCCACAAGAAAUUUCUUUCAGACCUCUUGGUAUCUUCCUGUUGUUUUUGUUACAUUCUGUUUUGAGCAAUUUCUAAAUUUUCUUUCAAGAGUUGCACUAGCCCUUACCUGUCUUGUAGAAAAUUAUCCACAACAUCUACCAUUGUGCCAUCUGUUAAUUCCAUUGAAAAACUCGUAGGAGGAUAUCCAUACAGUCCUUGAAAAGGAGACAUCUUAAGAGCACUGUGAGGAGUGGAAUUAUACCACCACUCAGCCAUAGGAAGCCAUUGAAUCCAAUUAGUGGGUUUCAAGUGAACCAGGCACUUUAAGUAAUUUUCUAAGUAUUGAUUAACCUUUUUAGUUUGCCCAUCAAAUUGAGGAUGAUAGGCUGGACCGAAGACUAGUUUGACUCCCAAGGAGUUAAACAGCUCUUGCCAAAACAAACUGGUAAAGGCCUUAUCCUUGUCAGAUACUAUGAUCUAGGGAAUGGCAUGCAACUUGUAAAUGUGAUCCAUGAAUAGUUUAGCCACUUUAGGAGCAGAGAAGGGACGAUUUAGAGGGAAAAAAUGGGCUAGUUUUGUAAGUAUGCAUAUCACCACUAAAAUAGUGUCCUCUUUUGACUUUGGAAGCCCUUCAAUGAAAUCCAUAGCUAUUUCUUGCCAUGCCUGGGUAGGAAUUGGCAAGGGUUGUAAUAAUCUUGGAUAGGCACAGUGUUCACUCUUGCAUCUUGCACAUACUUCACGGUUCACACUGUUUAACCCAUUCCAUGAGCUUCCUCAAUAUGCCAGGCCAAUAGAAAUGCUUCAUUGCUUCUUGAACUUCAAAUAAGUAGCAAAUAAGUAGCAUGGACCCAAGAAUGCCCUCCCACCGGGGAGUUGUGGUAAGUUUCCAGUAGCUGCUGUAGAAGCUCCAACAUACAUUCUGUUUUUAUAGAACAACACUCCAUUAUUCAGCUGGUAAUUACUGAGAGCUGUAGGGGCACUGGGGCAGUUGAUAAUUGUUGUAUCAAUUUAGUGGCCUUUAAAUCCCCCUCAUAACUGUGCUCCAAGUGUUGCUUCCAAGAUGGAACCACCACUGAUUGCAAGUGAUACAAUUGUUGCUCAAUAGAACUCAUAGACUUCCUAGAAAGUGCAUCUACUACCUUAUUCUCCACUCCCCUUUUAUAAAGAAUUUUAUCGUCAAGACCAAGCAGCUUUAUAAUUACUCUCUGCUGUAGAUUAGUAUGUAGUCUUUGUUCCAUGAGGUAUUUAAUACUUUCAUAGUCUGUUUUGAUAAAAAAAAUUGCAAUUCUUCUAAAUAAUGCCUCAAUUUGUCGACUGUAAAGGUAAUAGCUAGUAACUCCUUGUAAACAGACGAGCCUUGAUUUUUGGAUCCAGGCAUGGCAUUAUUGACACUGCUCUUCAUUUUGAGUCCCUUUAUGGCUACCCUCUACCUCCUCUCUCUUUUCAUCUCAAGAAGAAUGCAAUAUUGACAUUGCUCUUCAGUUUGCACAAAGAGAUAGCAAAUUUCACAACUCAUUAAAGACAACUUGCUUACUGUGCAAAACAAGAUGAAGCAGCAAAUAGAUAAGAAAAGAACAAAGAGGGAAUUCCAAGAAGGAGCUUGGAUGUAUUUGAAGAUCCAACUCUACAGACAAACCUUCCUAGCAGUCAGGAAGCACUUAAAGUUAUCUGCUAGAUACUCUGGCCCUUACCAAGUACUGUAGAAAAUUGGAGCAGUAGCCUAUAAACUCUCACUUCCUCCCAAUGCUCAGCUUCACUCUGUGUUCCAUAUUUCACUAUUCAAGGAAAAAGUGGGAGAGCGAAUACAGAUAAAUCAGAAGCUUCCAUCCUUUUACCAAGAAGAAGCCAUAAUUGCUCCUAAGAAAGUCUUAAAGUUCAGAGUCAUCGUUCGAGAUGGAAAGAGGGUUCCUCAAGGACUCAUUAAAUGGCUGAAUUUGUCAGAUGAGGAGGCAACCUGGGAAGACAAACCCUUUAUUUUGCACUAGUUUCCACAUUCAGCUCUGCUUGGGAACAAGAAGAAUCCCUUGGGGAUAGGGAUGUAAACGGGUAGGGUACCCGCAAAAUUGAGAGUACCUAAACCCGAACCCGAUUAUAUAUACAAUUCCCGAAUCCCGUCCCAAACCUGUUUAAUAUUUUAAUUUUAUUAUCCGAACCCGUCCCAAAUCCGUUUAACAAUACCCGCACAAUACCCGAACCCGAUUUUUUAAAUUCAAUUCAAUGACAAAAACUAGCAAAUAAACUACUUAACAUUUGCACAACCUAGCAAACCCAGCAGUAAAACCCAACAGUAAAAGGAGAAAUGUUCAAUGACAAGAACCAGCAACUCAGCAACCCAGCAAAUAAUGAUUUAUAACCAGAUAAUCAAAUUAAUUGUUCAUAAAUUCUAAAAAUCAACAAUAUUACAUUAAUCAAAUAGCAAAUAAUUAAAGUUUUUAAAAGUAUCUAAAUAAUCAAUUCAAUGACAAAAAUUACCAAAUAAACUACCUAACAGUAGAAUACUGUUAGGAGAAAUGUUCAAUAACAAGAAACAGCAAACCCAGCAAACCCAGCAGUAGAAAGUUCCAGUCAAAAAAUUUGAUUGCAAACCCAGCAAACCCAAACCCAGCAGUAGAAAGUUCCAGUCAAAAAAUUUGAUUGCAAACCUGAAGAAAGUUCCAGUCAAAGGAGAUGUCGCCGACAACGAUUGGGGAGAGGCAAGGGUCCAGCAUGAAGCGUCAAUUGAAAAGAGUAGAUGUCACCGACUGGAAGAGAGGAGAUAUCGCCGAUGCCGACCGGGGAGAGGGAAGAGUUGUCUCCGACUGGGAAGUGAGAGAUGCCGCCGCUGGAGAGAGAGAGAGAAGGAGAUAUCGCUGACUGGGGAGAGAGAAGAUUUAUCGUCGUCGUCGACUGGGGAGAGAAAGGAGACGUCGUCAGUCAGUGAAGUGGGAGAGAGAGGCCUUGACUGGGAAGUGGGAGAUGUCGCCGACUGGAGAGAGAAGGAGAUGUCGCCGACUGGAGAGAGAAGGAGAUAUCGCACUGUGGAGAGAGAAGAUUUAUCGGGGAGAGAAAGGAGACAUCGCCGGUGCCGACUGGGCUGCCGGGCGGCGUCGUCAGUGAAGUGGGGGAGAGGCGUCGACGAAGAGAGGAAAGGGAAGCGAGGGAGAGAGGCGCUGACGGAGAGAAGAAAGAGUAAAAUGAAAAAGGAAAUUAGGGUUAGUUUUGUUAAUAUAUAGGUAAUCGGGUUCGGGUAAUGGGUAUCCGAUCACCUAACCCCGAACCCUACCUGAAUCCGAAAUGGGUAAAAUUUUUCAAAUUCGAAUCUGCCCAAAUCUGUUUUGUAAAAACCCAAAUCCGUUCUAAUAGGGUUUGGGCGGAUCGGGUACCCGUAAAAACCCGCCCGCUUGACAUCCCUACUUGGGGAGAAGAAAAUUCUCUUGGGGAGGGUAUUGUAACGUACAACAGAAGGAAGAAGGGAGAAUAAGCUAUUGUAAUUGUUGUAACUGAAUAAAGGAAUUGGAGGAAAACAAAUAUUAGUUAGAAGGUAGUUAGUCUUGUACGCAUAUAAAAGGAGAGAGCUCUACUCUAUAAAGGCAUUCGAGAAUGAUCAAUAAUAUCUCUUUCUACCUUCUCACCUCUCUCUCUCUCUCUCUCUCUUUCUCACCCCUAUCUCUAGUUCUUUCCUCAUCACCUUUCUAAUUCUUCCCUCAUCUAAGUGUAUUCUCCUUCUAAUCCCCAAUUCUUCUUCUUUUCUCAUCUCUAUUUUCUAUUCCCAGCCAUUGUGCUAACACUGUACUACCCCUAUCUAUAACAAACUUCUAUCUAUAACAACCCCUAUAAAAUCCAUACAGCUAUAGUAUUUUCCCACCCAAAGUCUUUAUGUAUUUUAUUUCCUCUUAUUUAUAUAUUUCUUCUUAUAAUACGUGACAAUAUCUUUUGACCUUUUUUCUUAAUUCAAUAAAAGAUUCAAAUGUUCAACAUUCCAUAAUUUAAAACUAAAAUGUUUGAUUGGGAAGUAUUUAAAAGGGGAUUGUAAGUGUACUUCAGUUUAUUUGGAAUGAAAACAUUAAUUUUUAUUAAAGAAAAUAUGCUGUAAUAUUCCCGAUUUGUUUUAAACAUGAAAAAUGGGCCCUAAAAUGUUCAAUGGGUAGAAUUUAUGUUAACUAAUGGCUUGCGGAUAAUGAAAGACGGCAAAUUUUCCAAAAAAAGAAAACAUUUACUCAACUGAAGUAGUAUUUUAUUGCAGAAACACAAAUGAAGAACCUAGACAAAAAGAAGAUGUGAAUUUAAUGGGCCAAACAUGGAAAAAGAAAAAAAAAAAAAAAAGAAAAGGAUUGCAAAUUUGCCUCCUGGAAUAUCUAAUUAAAGUUUGGAGCUAAGAGUGCUAAUUCAGUGAGGGUUUAAAAAACGUGAUAUAAAAAACGGAUCAGGAUUUUACUGGAAAAAAAAUUUCAGUAUUAUAACUUUUGAUGCAGUUAAUUCUCUUGUUGUAAAAUUGUGUGUUUAUGAAAGAAAAUGUUGAUAUUAAAAACCUUUCAUUAUCUUUUUUUUUUCUUUACUGCACUUUUUGUCUCAAACUUCUAAUUUUUUUAGGCCUGAAGCUAAACUUGUGAAAGAAGUUGUGGAACAUAUUUUGAGGAAAUUGGAUCAUGCAUUCUCAGGAGAUUUGAAGGGUCUGAUUGGAAUAGACUCGCACAUUAGACAGAUCAAAAAUUUAUUAUGCAUUGGGUUGCCAAAUGUUCGUAUUGUAGGAAUUUGGGGUAUGGCUGGCAUAGGUAAAACGACUAUUGCUAGAGCUAUUUUCAACACUAUCUCAAAUCAAUUUGAAGCUUGCACUUUUCUUGAGAAUGUAAACGAAGAAUCAAAGCAAUUUGAAGGGCUACGCCGUUUAAGAGAAAAGAUUCUUUCUGAAUUACUGGAGGAAGAAAAUCUACAUAUUGUCACUUCCAACAUAGAAUCUGUUUCCGUUAAGGAAAGGAUCCGCCACAAAAGGGUUUUGCUUGUCCUUGAUGAUUUGAAUGAUGUGGAUCAGCUGGAAGUCCUCAUUGGAGGAUGCGAUUUUGCUUUGGGAAGUAGAGUUAUAGUGACAUCUAGAGAUAGGCAAGUUCUAAAGAAUGGAGUUGAUGAAAUAUAUGAAGUUGAGGGAUUAAAUGAUGAUGAAGCUCUUCAACUGUUCAGUUCCAAUGCUUUUAAGAAAAGUUACCCCACUUUUGAUAGAUUGGAGCUAUCAAAUAGGGUGGUGAACUAUGCUCAGGGAAACCCCUUAGCUCUUAAAGUUUUGGGUUCUUUCUUAUUUGACAGAAGGAGAGAAGAUUGGGAAAACACACUGGAUAAACUUGGAAGAAUUCCUCAGCCUAAAGUUUUUCAUGUGCUGAGAACAUGUUUUGACACGCUUGAUGAUGAUGAGAAAAAUAUAUUUCUGGAUAUUGCAUGUUUUUUCAAGGGGCAACAAAUUGAUUUUGUAAGGAGAGUACUAGAUGGUUGUGGUUUCUCAGCAGGAAUUGGAAUUACUGUUCUUCUUGAUAAAUCUCUUAUUACUAUCCUAGAUAACAACCUGGGAAUGCAUAAACUGUUGCAAGAAAUGGCUCAUGAAAUUGUUCGCCAAGAAUCUGUUAAAGAGCUGGGCAAGCGCAGUAGAUUGUGGAGAGCUUGUGAUGUCUAUCAAGUCUUAACAAAAAAUCUGGUAAGAGCCAUAUUCAUUCUAUGAUUUUUAUGCUUGCAUGUAUUAUAUUUAUGUAUCUGUCAAAAUAAGCUGAAUACAUCAGUGUAACCUUGCUUUAUAUAUAUGCUCAUCUGUGAUCUUCAGGGAACUGAAAAUGUUGAAGGGAUAUGGUUAGACACAUCUAAAAUUAGAGAAGUGGAUGUGAGUUCAAGAGCCUUUGUGAGGAUGAAUAAUCUUAGAUUGCUCAAAAUCUACAAUUCUAGAGUUAGAAAUAAUUGUAAACUGCACCUUCCUCAUGGCCUUGAGUUCCUUUCUGAUGAGUUGAGGUACAUCCAUUGGGAUGGAUACCCUCUGAGCUCUAUGCCAUCCAAUUUUCAGGUGGAGAACCUUGUUGAACUAAACCUGGCUUACAGCAAAGUUAAACAGCUAUGGACAGGAGUACAGGUACGCGAUAAUAUUUUUCCUGAUUCUCUUUUUACAUCAUUUCCUUUUAAAAGUGCAGUUUAGUAUGGGGCAUGUGCUAAUUUGUUGUAGCCUGUUGUAUUGUUAUUGCAGAAUCUUGUGAGUUUGAAAGAUAUUAACCUUAGCAAUUCUGAGCACUUAACUACUUUCCCCGAUCUCUCACUGGCAAAGAAUCUCGAGAGAGUAAAUUUUGAGUUCUGUACUAGCUUGGUAGAAGUUCCCUCAUCUAUUCAGUUUCUAGAGAAGCUUAGUGAUUUGAAUAUGAGAUGCUGCACAUGCCUUGAGAGCUUUCCUACAGGUAUUAAUUUGAGAUCACUUAAGACUCUUUACCUUUCCGGCUGUUCAAAUCUUAGGAAGUGUCCUGAGAUAGGAAAGAACAUAGUGUAUUUAAACUUAAAUGAGACUGCAAUAGAAGAACUUCCGGAAUCAAUUGGCCAUCUCAGUGAUCUCAUAGCAUUGAAUUUGAAGGAUUGUAAACGAAUCAGGUAUCUUCCAAGAAGCAUGCGUUUGUUGAAGUCCCUUGUGAUUAUUGAUCUCUCUGGCUGCUCAAAUAUCAUUAGGUUUCCCGAUGUUGCAACACGUAUAGAAUACUUGUACUUGGGUGAAACUGCAAUAGAAGAACUUCCCUCUUCAAUUUGUUGUCUCUCAAGUCUCUCUCGUUUGGAUCUAACAAACUGCAAAAGGCUUAAGAACCUUCCUUCUACCAUUUUUAAGUUGGCAUCUCUUGAAAAUCUUAUCAUCUCUGGCUGCUCAAGUAUUACUGAGAUUCCAGAGAUGUCGAGUAAUAUAAGGAAGUUGUUUUUAGAUGGGACAUCAAUAGAAGAAAUUCCCUCAUCAAUAGAGUUUUGUUUUGAUCUUGUUGAGUUGAACCUGCAAAACUGCACAAGAUUUCGUAUUCUUCCAAGUGGUAUUUGUAGGUUGAAAUCUCUGCAAAAGCUUAAUCUCUCAGGCUGCUCCAUGUUUGAGAAUUUUCCAGAAGUUUUGGAGGUUAUGGGAUCGUUGAGGUAUCUAUAUUUAGAUGGAACAGCCAUACAAGAGUUACCUUCACCAAUUGAAAAUUUGAAAGGGCUUACCUGCUUGGAAUUAAGAAACUGCAGAAAUCUACAGGGAUUGCUGGAAGGAAUCUCUGGUGUAAAAAAUUUCAGCAGAUUACCUGAAAGGUGGGUGGAUAUUCAAUAUCUACGAAAGCUCAACGUAAAUAAUUGCAGUUUAUCGCAUGUGCCUUAUUGCAUUGGCUGCUUAUCCUCGCUAGAAGCUUUAGAUCUAAGUGGAAACCCUUUUACAUGCAUGCCUGAAAGCAUUAGUAAGCUCAUUGAGCUUCAGUACCUUGGUUUAAGAAAUUGCCAGCAGCUAAUAUCAAUACCAGAUCUUCCGCCCCAGCUUACAAAAUUAGAUGCACAUUUUUGCGUUUCGCUGAGAUCGGUAUCACUUCAUUCCAAAGGAGCCGAGGGAAACAUUUUUGAUUUCCAUUUCACUAAUUGUGACGAGUUAACUUCAGUUGCAAGGCACAACAUCAUGGCAUAUGCUCUACGAAAGAUUGAGCUAUACUCCAAAAAACUGCAUUGUCAGGUCUUUCACUCCCCUAAAACUUUCCCUUUGCUCUUUUUAAUUGACCAUUUCCCUUAUUAAAAUUGCUGCUUUUUCUUAUUUGUGUGCAGAUGCCUUCUGUGUUAGCUGGGGGAUCUAGCUUUUGCAUUCCUGGAAGAAAAAUUCCGAAGUGGAUUUGCCAUCAGAGUGAGGGAUUUUCAACGACAGUCCGACUGCCUUCACAGUGGAGUAAUGGUGAGUUCCUGGGUUUCAUUCUCUGUGCAGUUAUUGCAUUCAAUGACUCCAACGUUGACAACGGUUUCCAAGUGAAAUGUGAAUACCAUUUCAAAGAUGAGCAUGGUAACUGCAGUAAUCUCCAUCAUCAUAUCGGUGGCUGGUACGGUCGAAGAUAUCUCUGGAAUUACCGCGAAAUCCAAAACAGGGGAUUAUAUCCCAUGUUCUUUGGAUAUGAUCCUUGUGUGGAUGUUAAGAAAAAUACACAGUUUCCUAAAUACACACAGCUUCUGGUUGAAUUCCACCCUGAAGAUAUGGAUGGCCAUCCUUUACAUUGUUGCAAAGUUGUCAAUUGCGGGGUACGCAUAUUAUAUGCAGAAGAGGAUAGAUUAUGUCGAUGUUCUUCUCUCCAUCAACAGAUUAAGGAAGCAUUAUCCAAAACAAGGGAUGAAAAUUGCUCCUAUGAAGAUCAAAUUGUAUGGGAGAACUUUCUGGAAGACAAGAAAACCAAAGUUGUUGGGACAAGCUGCAAAAUGUACCAAUGUUUGCUCUGUGAAAGUCGCGACUUUGGGUGUUUCGAUGUGGACGAUGAACAAGAUAUUGAUACUCUUGCAUCUGAACAGGCAGCGAGCCUUAUGAGAAAUUUCAGAUUUCGUAGGCAAUUAUUCUAUGACAUAAAAAAAAUAAUAAUAAUAAAGAAGUGGAGAUAGAGAAAAAAUAAAAUAAAAUCUAAUACCAGUGGUCAAUUUUAUUUUGAUAUUAUUAAUAUACAAUUAAGUUUACCCAGAAUAACAAGUUAUCACUAAGAUUUGCAUGUAUUUUUUAAUAGGAAAAAAUGAUAAAAUUUAAUUUCUAUAAUAUGUGAUAUUUGCGCGUUAUCAUAUUAUAAGAUUGAAUUAUUGCAAGAAUUAAAAGUUAGUGAUAUAUUCUCUCUUUAUAAAAUUAAAUUAUUCAAAAUUUAAAAGUUAAAGAAGUAAAUAGAAUAAAAAUAAAAUUGAAAAGUAAAGUAAUUUUUUCAUGAGAAGAAAUAAAAUUUAAAAUAAUAAUAUAUUGAUAUUAAUAAGAAUAUUAUAUUAUUAAUUAUAUAAUUUUAAUAAAAAAAUACACCUAUAACUAAUAUAUAAAAAAAUAUUAUAUUAUUAAUAUAUGAUUCACUUAUAUAAUAAAAAAUAUUUUAAUAUAUUUUUUAUUCAAAUAAUAAACACAUAUAAACAUCAACACAUAUAUAAAAUUUAUUUAAAUAAAAUAAAUUAUAAUUUAGCGAAUUAAAUUAUUUAAAUAGUUAGAAAUCUUUAAUAACUUAUUAGAAUUUAUAGUUAUUUCAUAAUAUUAUUAAUUUUAUGAGUAUCAAUAUUUGGUUCAGACUGAAAAAAUCGAUCAAACUGAAUUAAUUUAAAAAUUCAGUUCAGUUUUUUUAUUAAUUUUGAUUCGAUUCGAUUUAUAAUUUCAAAAAUUUCAGUUAUUUCAAUUUGGUUUAGAUCAUAAAAAAUUAAAAAAAUCAAAUCGAAUCGAUUAGUGAUAAUAGUAUAUUAUUUUCACUAGAGAGAAUAUAGAGAUAUUAGAUCAUAUUAAAAUUAAAAUAUUCUAAUUAAAUUUUAAAAUAUUAAAAAUAAACUGUAAAAAAUAAAAAAUUUAUUAAAAAUUCAAACCGAUCAAAUUGAAUUAAAUCAAACUGAAUCAGACUGGUUCGGUUAGAUUCGUUUCUGACCAAAAUCGAUUCGGUUCGAUUUUUAUACAUACCAAAAUUUCAAUUUUUAAUUUAUUUAGUUCGAUUCGAUUUUGAACCGAACCGAUCAAAUGCUCACAUCUACAUCUAGUAUGAGUUAUAUUUAAAUUAUAUGAAUAAUUUAAUUUAUAAAAAUAGUUAUAUAAUAUUAAAUAUAAAGAUAAUCAAAGAGAAUAUAUAUAAUAAACUAAAUUUUUAUUAAGUUAAAUAACUCACAAAUAACUAUUUUAUUUAUAUUUUUAUUUAUUUAUAAUUUGAUACUAUAUAUUAUUUACCAAUUUAUAAAAUUAAGAUUUGAAUUCUUUAUAUAAUUUUUUGAAUUCUUUAAAUAAAAUUAUAUAAUUAUGGUAAUAUAAAUUUACACAAUUAUAUUGAAAUUAUUUAUAAAAUAUAAAAUAUUUUAUUAAAACUAUAUAAUAAAAUCAUAAUAUCAAUAAAAUUAUUAAAAAUAUAUAUAAUCAGUUUUUCAAUAUGAUUCCGAUUAUAAAAAAUCAAAACAAAAUAUUUAAAUAAACUUAAUUUAAUAUAAUUCAAUUUUUAUAAUAUUGAUUUUUUCAGUUUCACUACAAUUCAAUAUGAUUAUUUAAUUUGAUUCGAAAUUCCUAAUAAAUUUUGACAUAAAUUAAUAUUUUUUAAUAAAAUACAUAAUUAUAAUUAAUGUAUUUAAUUCGUUAUAAUUAUUUGAUUCGAUUUGAAUCCCUAAUAAAUUUUAACAUAAAUUAAAAUUUUUUAAUAAAAUAUGUAAUUAUUUAAUAUUUUUAAUUCAUUGAUGUUAAAAUUAUUUUCAAAUUUAAAUAUAUUGAAUUUAAACUGUCAUUGAAUUCCGUUGUAUAACAAAAUCUAAUUAUAAAUAAUAUAAAUUUGAAAUUUAUAAAUUUAGUAUGAUGAUAUAUGAAUUUUUAAUUUGAAUAAAAAUAUUAAUAUUUUCCUUUACUCAUAAAAAAUAAUAAUAAAUAUGAAUAUAAAUGAUUACUUAACCAUUAAGUUUAUUUAGAAUUUUCUUGUAAUAGUAGUCUCUAGUAAUAUGACAAUUUCUCUUUUUGAAAAAAUCAAUGGCCAAAUUUUCUCAUGGAAAAGUAUUAUAAAUUAUAUUUAUACGCAAUGUUUGAAAUUUCUAUCCAAGUUUUCAAACCUGGACGAUUGUUAUGCACAGUUUUUGCUUCUUUUCUAAGCAAUUCUGCGCUCUCAAAUUUCUAUCUCAUUUUCUCUCUUAGAUUUUUAUACAUUGCUUCUUCUCCUCCUUCUCUUCCCUUUUCCUCCCCCUUUCUCUCUCACAGAUGACCAGUUUAGAAGCUUCCUUCCUAUCAUCAAUAAGCAAAACCUGAGAACUUCCCAUGCAUUUUCAUAAAUUUGACUACAACCCUAAGGUGCCUAUAUAUAUAUAAAUCAAUGAUCAAGGGUGCAUAUGCUUCUAAGGAAAUUUUAUAAGAGAAAAAAAUAAGAGUUAAGGAGAUAUAUAGCACAUCUUUAAUAUCUAGUGAUGGGUUGUUUUGGCAAGCGAAACUCUGAAAAGAAACAAAACCCAUAUCAAACACCUGCCGGAGCAACUAAUCCUCCUCGUCAACCUCAUUAUGGUGGAGCUAGAAAAGGCAAAAGUCACAGCAAACAUAGCCAUGGUGUUGGAGCAGUUACUGCAGGUGUUACUGCUGCAGUCGUUGCAAGUUCAGCCGCUUCUAGUGGUGCUGGUGCUUGUGGUGGAGGUGGUUGCGCCGUUUGAGGCUGUUGAGGGUUGUCUUUGCAACAAUUCAAUUUGUUCUUUAUAUAUUUAUUAAUUACAUAUCAUCUCUUGAGAUUCUAUUAAUUUGUCAUGUUUUUACUUGAAUUUCAG